UGGGCAACAGCAACGAAACUCCGUCUCAAAAAAAAAAAAAAAUUACAGUCAUCUCCCAGAAAAAUCAAGAAGGAAGAACCUUGGAGGUUCAACCUAUAGAAGAUAUGUUCUCAUGGAAUAAACCAAAAAUAAUUUUUAUUUUCUAAAAAAUCAAGAACAGAAGUCUCUCAACAUUUAAGUUUUACAAACAAAUAGAAUCUGAGCCACUGGGUUAAACAUGACAAACGACACACAGUAACAAAUAUUGAAGACAUCAUAAUGCCAAAGCAACAGAAGCAGCACCAGAAAUGUUGCUGAGGCCACCAUUUAAUUAACGCAAGUUGAACAUAUGGCUUUGGUUACAUGUGGUUCCAGGCCAGAGGCAUGGAAGUCAGUGUUUGUGGGAAAGCCAGGAGGAAAAGCUCCUCUCCCCACCUCCACCUUGUCACUCCAGGUUCUGGUGACCCCAUCUCGGGACACGGCCUCCCAUUUCACUCCUGCACCAACCCCACUCUUGUAACACUGCACAUGCAAGAUGUGAGCAUCUUCAAAGUACGAAUAUUGCCUUCUUCAUUUUAGAAUCCAUGAUGUGCUUGUGGGGAGAAUGAAUGAAUGCUCAAACAUGAAUGGAGAGAGACAGAGAGGAAGUGCAGGUCUAACCAAGGAAACCUUCUUUCCUAGAAAAUCGUUGAUGAGCCCGGAAAGAGUUGGCUGAACAACGGUAACAAUUCUUUUAUUAUUAUUUAACUUAUUAAGUUAUUAGAAAAAGUAAAAGAGUGAGUCGAGGUUUUUGGAUUGGAAGUAGGGACCCACUGAGUUCCCUCCAGGAUUGUGGAGUUUCUUUUACAGCCACAUGUGGAUAAGAAACUAAGGGCCACAGACCAAAUGACAGGUCGGAUGGCAACCCUGGAAAAGUCACACAGCUCAGCCUGUUGGAGGAAGAGGAGCAGUAGAACCUGUGUGGAGCCUGACAGAACCCAAGAUGCCAUUCACGAACCGAGAGGUCUUUCAAGAUCACACACAGUUCUACGACACAGACAUUUCGUCUUCUUGCCACUCAGUAGCGGGGCCCAUCCCUCUGUGCCUCCAAGGUCCGUGUGCCAUGUGGAAAACUCAGGUGUUCUGUCUCUGCCAGGACCUUCUUCCUGCUGCUUAUUUAAGUGUCUGCUGCUUCGGGGCCUCAGGUGCCUGCUUUAUCUCUUUCUCCUUUACUAUCAAGUCUUUAAGCAAUUUGCCAAGACGGAGAAUCUCACUGGCCUGGUGGGGCUGAGCCUUCCUUCACUGGCUGACCAACUGGGAAGUGGGCUGCUGCCUAGAUCAGAUGGAACCGUGGAACGAGGGAAUCCUGCCCUCUGGUUGUGUCUGUCAUCUCCUACUGGGACCAGAGCCACAAAAGCCACAAAAGACCCAACUCUCUCCAGCGUGCAGGCAUCCCAACUAGAGGAAGCAAGGAGGCAGAGACCAAGAGGACAUCAAGAGGCGUUUGAACCCGCAGAGAGGGCCUGGGAGCACAAUGCUGAGCAAUGUGUGAAGAUACCAGGAAGGAGGCCAGAGCUUCAGGAAACCGCUGCAAAGAUGAUCUCACAAAGAAACCAUUGUGGCAGGGCUCCUGGAGCACUCAAGUUGAUGUGACGUGUCCUACUCCUGAGAGCACGCAACCCUGCUGGCUCCUUGGGCUUGCAUGGCUCAGGGAAAGGAAAAUAGCCCGGGUGUUUGGAAGAGAAGUAUGUGUGGAUGGAAUUAUUCAAAUGCUGAUGGAUGGAUUGGGUCUCCUCUCCUGCUGGCCCGGCAGCCUCUCCGUGGAAGGCUUUGCCCAGGAGAUGGGUCACAACAGCUCUGGUGAGAUGCUGGAAACAUAAGCCCAGGCAGAUAGAAUGGCAGUGAGUCACAGUAAACCGACAACCGUCAGGUGCUCAGGAGGGAAGCUGAAGCCAGGGGACUCGCUGUGCUGAGCUAAGCGAGGAGCAGGACUCUCCUGUUGUGCAAAACACAAAGAGCAGAGUGUUCAAGUCCAAGGAUCAGGUUCCUCCAAAUGGAAGCCCAAGCUGUGCACGCUGAGCUCCAGGGCUGGCGAUACAAUCACCUGCCUCUGCCCAUGCAGGAAGGUACCACCCAAACAUACCCAUUUCUCCCGGGGCAUGGGCAGGGGCCAGGGGAGACAGGGCCCUACCACUUCCCAUGUAAAACUGGGUGAGCAGCCCAGCGCCCGUCAGAGCCGAAGCACCUCACCUGCACCCCCGCCCCCGCCCCCGCCCCCGCCCCGCCCCGCCCAGCCUUGUAAUCUGGGCUCUGCUCGCCAUGUGCUCUGUGCUAGUGAAACUGCCCUCAGAGCAGAAAUAAACUGUUGGCUCUCAAGUUUUUCCAGACUAACCGGACUGGCCAAUGCCUGAGGCUCUGUGUUCAAGAUAAAAGUGCCUAAGAAAGAAAAGUGCAGGUAGGCAGUCCCCACUUCUGCAGGGCUGGUGGGCUCUGGGGAUCCUGUCUCAGCCUGCUGAACAGCCCAGAGUGGCUUUAAAAAAAAAAAAAAAGCCUGAACAACCUUUUUUUGCACAUGGGUCACAGUCAAGCUUCUUAAACUUGGAUGACAGUAAACCUAUGACUAACUGGAUAAUUAAAGCCACAAGUCUGGAGGCCUGGGCAGGGCUCUGCUCUGGAAUCUCCGGUGGCCUGUUCCAUAGGCCAGCGUCCCUUGUCCUUCCCAUAGCAGAAAUGCUUUCGUGAGUUGGAAACCCUCUGUGGUGACCUCUACAUCUUCUCAAGGUCAGUUAUCCACUUGUCCAUGGCUUCGUGCCCCCAUCCCACAUCCCUGUCCACUGCAUGGAAGGAGGAAAUCUAACCCACCCGCCACAGUGCAGCCCACACUCCCCACACUGCCCCGACAGGAACAUGACAGAAGGUUUCCAACUAAAACCAAAGUUACUCAGCAAAGCUUCCUGCCAGGCAGCCGUGCUGGAGGGCGCAGCGUGCCUCUGUCUGCUCUUUCUGUUCUAUGAAACUUCUCUGCUGCAAGCACUUGAGAGCCUCUUGGCUUCCUGGGGAGAGUGGACUGAACUUCAAAGCAGACACAGCUGCAGCUAAGAAGCCCCUGGGUUGCCUCAAAGACUCUGUCUCCUCCCAGUCUGAAGCUUCUGGUGAAUGUUUCUCCCUCAUUCCUGAAACAACAGAUAGAGCUGUUGAAGUUUACAACGUCCCCCAAGGCAUUUCUGUGUUUCUGCCUUUAAUCUAGGGCCCAAGUGACCACCCACAAGAAUGCCCCGAACACUCACUGCCUCAGGAUGCGUCCUGCAAUUUACAUUCCCGUGGUGCCUCUGCCUUCACCCCACGCUGGUGCCCCCGCCUCCACUCCAGCCGUCUCUCUGGCCACCCCUGCCCCCUCGCUUCUCUCCAUCAUGCCAAAAAGUGCCCUCGUCCUCUGACGGUGGAAGAGGGGAUUCAGUUAGGAGUCGGGAUGGCCUAUGUGAUUUUUGUACACUAUUCCAGAAUAGGUGUGUGGUUGCUUUAAAAAUCAAAAGAAAUGUGUCUUCCAAAUCUUUGAAGCCCUUUGAUUUCAGGAAGCUGUGGACCGUGUUUAGCCUGUGGCUCUGUGUGCCCCUUGGCUGCUGCUGCUGCUUACUCCUGAGGGUGAAGUUGCUAACAUAAGAAACGAGUAAUUUGGAUUUGCGCUUCUUGGUAAAAACCCCUUUCCAUUAACCUGUAAAACUCUAGAGGGCAGGGGAUCUCUCACAUUGAAUCUGGUGGUCUUGUGAGAAUGCCUGGAAAAUAGUAGGCAUUCUCCAAUGAUUGUUGUUGGAUUAGUGUCAUUGCUUAAAGAAAAAAAAAAUCAAAGAAAGUCACUCUCUUAGCUCAGGAUGGUGUAUUUGCAAGUGUUUAGGCCAAACAUGUGUUGAGAAAUUGCACAUAUACUGUGUACAACUCAUGUCAUCAGGAACUUAUGUUACCAAACCUCUUGUUUCACCCACUAUCUUAUCAUCUGUAUUGAGCAGACUAAGACCUAGCAAACCAGAUGAGCCUUCAGGAGAUCUGCAGACUGAUAAGGGCAUUUGAGAUAAAGAAAUCCCACAGAGUUCUAAAACCAAAAUGAAAAGUAUAGAGAUGAUUGUCCUGUGAAAUGGCCCCAAGCCUCAGACCCAUUACCAUCUACCUCUGGCCUCACUUGGGGGCUACUGUAGAUGCUCAGCACAGAACCUCUUAGCUGUGGUUGUGACUUCCUGGCUGGCCAGGCCUGUAAGAGGCGGAGGAAGAAGUGCUGUGGCGAGCUCUGUGACUCAGAGGAAAGCAGCCAGGACAUGACGUCCUGCACGACUGCCUGGGGUGGCUGCAGGGAGGUGGCCUAGGGACAGAUGAAGCUGCAGUGGGGACCACCUCCCCUGCAGAAGCAGUUUUCUUGUCCCUCCUCAUCCAAACACACUCCAACUUAAAAAAUCAUUAUGCAUAACUCCGAAAGCAGGUCCAUGCUGUACCUGUGUGUGUCCUGCCAGAUUUCUUUGUUCCUGGGGGAAAACAGCAAUAAACAUCACAUUCCUUUUCA
rnacentral:lncRNA from 1 species